ensembl:lncRNA
CACAGGGUCUGAGCUGCAUCUGUGACCUACACCACAGCUCAUGGCAAUACAGAUCCCCGUCCCACGGAAUGAGGCCAGGGAUUGAAGCCACGUCCUCAUGGAUAUCAGCCAGGUUUGUAACCUACUGAGCCACUACAGGAACUCCCCAAAUUUCUUUUAAUUUGAGAAGUUAUUAUUUCCUUAAAUGUGUAUUAGAAAAAUAAAGCAGCUUUGAUGGAAGAGCUACAGACUCCCUAUUUUAAAAGCUUCGUUGUAAGUUGAAGGUGUGCUGCCCUAAAGAAGAAGAUCUGGUAUAUGAGAGGUGGUGACUGCUAUGAAGAGGUUCCAGUCUGAGCGAGACCCCGGUGUGGUGCCCCUCCCACAGAGCUCCUGGCCCAGGGCUCCCUUGAAGGGCAGCUGGAAGACUGUCUGGCCCAGCCAUCUUCAUGCUUCCCCAAUCUGUAGAUGACCAAGGACCCAGUAUCUUUGUGGGCUGCAAAUGCUACCAUGCCUGGUGUGGGAGAUGGUGAAGGAGGCCCUCUAGGUGGAGGCGAAGUGGAGGAAUAGAGUCAGGGGAACUGGUUGGUGCAGCCAUCAACCCUCCAUCUGCCAUCCGUGGCCUGAAUGCAAUGCCCACAUGAUUCUGGAGCAGGUGCGCUAACCUACCAUUCUGCUUUCUCAGAAUUAUGGAGUUCAGCAUAUCAGAGGAAACUGCCCCAAAGGGACUCAGGACUUGUGCUGAGUGGUGCUGUCUUGGCUCUCCCCACUGCCCACCUGCCUGCCAGCUCAGUGACCCGGGCCAGUACCCAGGCGGGCACUAUAGCAUCCCCGCCUCCCUGAGCAGAGCCAGACUCAGCAUGGUUCCACUGUGAGGAAACAGCAGGAUCUGAAUCCAGUCCCUCGGCUCUGGGCCCCUGGCGGCGCCAAGUCAUCAAUCUUAGUGCAUUGAUGACUCCCUCUACUGGCCGCUGGGUGGUUCAUGGGCACGCUCUGUCACAGGUGGGCUUCAGCCUCUGCCUGAGGACCCUCCUACGAUGCUGAGACCCCCACCGGCCAGGAGGCCCAUGGUCCUCACACUCUGUGGUGCUGUCCCCAGACUAGUUUCCAGGCCCGUUUCUCAGGGUGCAGCCAGGACGUGGGCAAGGACUUGAAGGCUGGGGUCCGGGCAGUGCCAGGGCAGGACCAGCCUGCACACAGACAGCAUGGGGUAUGUGGGGUGUCCCACUCUGGACCAUCAUGUGUUGUGUGGCUCUACCCCCCCCCAAGGGGGCCACUCCCCAGGCCCUUAGGUGGUGAUAUGGGUCUGCUGUCUCCACAGCUUUGAAAACGGGGUUUGGCGCAGUAUCUCAGCUACAGAGCCCCCUGGUGUGUCUGAAAUUCAUAAACGAAAUCCCACUGAGGUGUCACUAAAGGGGGUCUCUCCCGUGCUCUAGAGGGGGUCACGGAGUGAGAGCUCUUCAGAGCAGCCCUUUCCAGUGUCACUGUGCCCACCAACUGCCUGGAUCUGACUCAGCUGGCCCCUGAGGUGUGCGUUUCUCAAAGGGGACAGAGUGGGUCAUUUUCUUUUCAACAACCACAGAGGAGCCAAUGAGGAGACAGCCCUCCCAGGUAGCAAACCCAGGAGGGACCCAGCUGCCAAGCCUAAGUGGCUGGGCACUCAGGCUGUCAGUCCUUACUGACAAGGCCUUUCAAUGUGGCGCUUUCUCUUGCUCCCCUCCUGCUCCUGAGCCACAGGUAGGAACAAGGACGCCCCCAGAGGGGGCAUGGCAGCUCUGCCCACCACCCCCAGGUGGCCACAGAGGUCAUACUCUGGCUGCCCCUGCACUCAGGAGCCAGGGCCCCAGUCUCUGCCUCCAACCUCAUGUGUGUGCAUCAUGUGUGUAUGCGCGAGAUUGAAAGAGGAGAUGCACAUGGCGUCCCUGGGACCCAGGGGCCCUGACAAAGGUCUCAGAGGGGGACGAAUACAACCCUCUGUGAGGUCAGAGGUUAAAAGCCACCAGGUGGAGGAUGGAAGGGCAUUAGAUGGGAGCCAGCCAGAGUGAACCCCAGGGACUGCCCCCCACCCCCCCACCCCUGCCCUGUCCCCAUCUCAGGUUCAGGCCAGGGUGGGGAGCAUCCUGCAAGAGGCCCCAAGAGUAACAAGGGCUGGAACCAGAAUGGAGGCGUUCCCAGUCCCUCUGUCCCAUCUCCAGGCAGUAACCCGGCUCUCCUGGGCCACCUGGCCAUCAUUUCCUGGGGCCUCAGGGAAAGGCGUUGGGGAUGCUGGGGUGACCUGAGGGGCCCUGACCCCCACUGAGUCAUCCUGCCACGCGAAUCCCCUCCAGUAAAUCACAGGCCUAAGGCCCUCCAGGUCAGGGACGUGAACGUAACCUGGCCCAGCAUCAAAAGGAAAAGCCCUGGGCUGUCACCUGCCAAAGAGACCUCAGAGGGCCUGAUUUUUAUGUGCCGUAUCUUAAAAAAAAAAAAAGGAAAAAUGGUCUGAAUUCCAGGCAGUAACCCUUGGACUUUUCUGAUGUGUGUGAGGAAGGGAGGGAGGAGAGGAAAGUCUGAGGAUUUGAAACGUCUUUCUGCAGCUCGUGCAAGCAGGUUGAGAAGCGAGCUUUUCUGAAGGAGCCUCUCCUGGUUCUCUGCCUGGUUCUUGGGGAGGGCAAAGUGGCCAUUCUGGCCUGUCAGCCACUUCCUGAUGGAGCCAGGACAGCCAGUACGCUCAGAGCCAGGGGAUUAAACAAACUGACUGGGGGGUUCCCAUUGUGGCUCAGCAGUAAUGAACCCAACUACUAACCACGAGGAUGCGGGUUCUAGUCCUGGUCCUGCUCUGUGCGUUAAGGAUCCGGUGUUGCCGUGAGCUGUGGUGUAGGUUGAAGACAUGGCUCGGAUCUGGCAUUGCUGUGGCUAUGUUGUAGGCCAGCAGCUGCAGCUUCAAUUCGACCCCUGGCCUGGGAACCUCCAUGUGCUGUGGGUACAGCCCUAAAAAGGAAAAAGCACAAGAAGGGAAGCAGACCCCCUUCUCCAAAAUUGACUGGAAGAAGCUUCCCCGAGCUUCUAUUUCCAUCUCGGCGGCAGGGAUGGAGGAUGGGGGCUGCUGACCUUUGGUACAUGGACUCCAUCUCAGACGCCCAGGAAAACGUAAAGGCGCCAAAGAGACUUUAUGCUCCUCAGAAGCCUAUUACUCAUGUUUUGUUUUGAUUCAACCCUCCUGAGACUUAGAACUUUUGGGAUUAGCUACUAGGGAGUGAACAGAGGAGAGUCCAGGGGCUGCAAAGACAGCGGCCAGCUCCGACUCACUAACAGGAGCCCCCUGAGUUCCCUCUGGCGCCCCGCAAAGUGGGACAUCCGGCUCAGAGGGCAGGGUACAGGCGGUGCCCUUGGUGCUCAGGUUGGGACCCUGGGCAACCCGUGGAUCCACUGGCUCCCAGCUUGUGCUAUGAGGGCCAGACCUCUCUCUUCUCUGUGUAAUAGACUUUGUCAGGAUCACUUUAUUAAUGAUGACUUAGUGACCAAGUUCCAUGUCAAGCCAUGGGAUUUUAGGACCUGGGGCCUGAGGAACACCAGAGGUGACCAGUUUGCAUCUCCCACCAGCCCCCACGGCAGGAACUCUCCCUGCAGCAUCCCUGCCCAGUGGACAGCUGGCCUCCACUGCCACUGGAACUCUGCCGGGACAGGGCUGGCCCCUCCUGCUCUGGACAGCUCCAGCUGCGGACCCGCAUCUGCUUCUAGGGAGAUAUUCGGGGCCUCCGCCCUUCUCUAGAAGAGAGGAGGCUCAAAGGUAACCCUGC